UACGAAGGGGGCUAGCGUUGCUCGGAAUCACUGGGCGUAAAGCGCACGUAGGCGGCUUCUUAAGUCAGGGGUGAAAUCCUGGAGCUCAACUCCAGAACUGCCUCUGAUACUGAGGAGCUCGAGUCCGGGAGAGGUGAGUGGAACUCCGAGUGUAGAGGUGAAAUUCGUAGAUAUCAGGAAGAACACCAAUGGCGAAAGCAGCUCUCUGGGACGGUACUGACGCUGAGACGCGAAAGCGUGGGGAGCGAACAGG
rnacentral:rRNA from 1 species